CCUACGGUGUGCUGCAGUGGGGAAUAUUGGACAAUGGGCGAAAGCCUGAUCCAGCCAUGCCGCGUGUGUGAAGAAGGCCUUCGGGUUGUAAAGCACUUUCAGUGGGGAAGAAAGCCUUGGGGCUAAUACCCUCGAGGAAGGACAUCACCCACAGAAGAAGCACCGGCUAACUCCGUGCCAGCAGCCGCGGUAAUACGGAGGGUGCGAGCGUUAAUCGGAAUUACUGGGCGUAAAGCGCGCGUAGGCGGUCUGAUAAGCCGGUUGUGAAAGCCCCGGGCUCAACCUGGGAACGGCAUCCGGAACUGUCAGGCUAGAGUGCAGUAGAGGAAGGUAGAAUUCCCGGUGUAGCGGUGAAAUGCGUAGAGAUCGGGAGGAAUACCAGUGGCGAAGGCGGCCUUCUGGACUGACACUGACGCUGAGGUGCGAAAGCGUGGGUAGCAAACAGGAUUAGAUACCCGGGUAGUC
rnacentral:rRNA from 1 species